rnacentral:rRNA from 1 species
UCCGUAGGUGAACCUGCGGAAGGAUCAUUACUGAAUGACGUGCGUCCUGGUUGUGGUAGACCAUUUCCACCCAUCGGAUUUGGUCAGAUGUCGGACCAGCCGGGAUUUGGUCUACCAUGCCUUUCACCAAACAAACCCGUCUUUGUAUGUAUGGCAUUAAAGUAUAUAAAUAUAAAUAUAACUUUCAACAACGGAUCUCUUGGCUCUCGCAUCGAUGAAGAACGCAGCGAAAUGCGAUAAGUAAUGUGAAUUGCAGAAUUCAGUGAAUCAUCGAAUCUUUGAACGCACCUUGCGCUCCUUGGCAUUCCGAGGAGCAUGCCUGUUUGAGUGUCGUCGAAUUCUCAGAACCUCCUGCUUCUUCAGGCAGCAGGGUCUGGAUCGGUGGAGGAUGCAUUGCUGGGCUAACCCUUUGCUUCUCUGAAAUGGAUCGGCGGUCUGGCUUCGUUGUCGGUAUGAUACACAUACAUGUCUUACCUGCUUCUAACCUGUGCCAGCCUUGAACACAAACGCACUCUCACGAUUUGACCUCAAAUCAGGCAGGACUACCCGCUGAACUUAAGCAUAUCAAUAAGGCGGGAGGGGAAGGUCGGACUGGCCAAGGGCACACAGGGGGGGAUA